UGCUAAACUACCACGCUCACUCAGGCGCUCAGAUGCCAUCAAGCUCUAAAGAAAAGUCUUUGUGCCUACAUCUGCGAUUACGUGUGAAUGAAAAGAACAGCUGUGACCUCCCUCGUACUUUGAAAGGGCUCUGACAAACACAAACAAAUUCAACUUAACAAAAAAAAAGUCUUGAGUUCAUUCAUUUUGCAUGUGUAAGGACCUGCAGAAUUAAUUAUUACAUUCAAGACUAAUCGUGAAAGAGCAGCUAAGGCCUCUGAACUCAGCUGGAGACGGAGGCUGCUUCCUCCCUACCCAACAUCACUGUGCUGAUCAUGUCCUUCUGCAGGGCAGCUGCACUCAGCUUCUGCUGAACUGCGUGCUCAAUAUGGGAUGUGGAAGAGAUGAAACUAUGGGUGCUGGGAGAGGAGUCUGGACAUAAGAAAUAAUGUCAUCAAUAUUCUGUUGGGGAGGGAGAUAAGAAAGGAAAAUGAAGUAAUUAAUUCAUAAUUUACUGACACAUUUUUCUUGGCCUGUGGAAUUUUAAUG
ensembl:lncRNA